rnacentral:rRNA from 1 species
UCGGGACUUUUGGGCAAUGGGCGAAAGCCUGACCCAGCAACGCCGCGUGAAGGAUGAAAUCCCUCGGGAUGUAAACUUCGCAAGAACGGGAAGAAUAAGUAAGGGUUAAUAUCCCUUAUGAUGACGGUACUGUUUGUAAGCUCCGGCUAACUCCGUGCCAGCAGCCGCGGUAAUACGGGGGGAGCAAGCGUUGUUCGGAUUUACUGGGCGUAAAGGGCGCGUAGGCGGCCACCGCAAGUCGACUGUGAAAUCUCCGGGCUUAACUCGGAAAGGUCAGCCGAUACUGCGGGGCUAGAGUGCAGAAGGGGCAACUGGAAUUCUCGGUGUAGCGGUGAAAUGCGUAGAUAUCGAGAGGAACACCUGCGGCGAAGGCGGGUUGCUGGGCUGACACUGACGCUGAGGCGCGAAAGCUAGGGGAGCGAACGGGAUUAGAUACCCCGGUAGUCCUAGCCUUAAACGAUGAAUGCUUGGUGUCUGGGGUUUAUAGUCCCGGGUGCCGUCGCUAACGCUUUAAGC